AAGAAAAGUAGUAACUGUUUUUUUCUAAGUUUUUUUGGAAUGUAUGAUACUGCAACACUAGUCCCUCAUUUACUGUUGCAGCAGUAGUCUGAAAAGAUUGCCUCAAAAGCCUGAAGACCUUUUCAGUUAAGUUCAUUGCUUCUAAAGUUUGUGCUUUGCCUACUAGCAAACAUCUGCCUCCAAUUUCUCUGCAGAUGCGCUUGAUCACAUGUAUCUGAAUCAUGCUGCUUUUGAAAAGAGAUGUAAUGAAUUCUCUAAAUAUCAAGCUGACCUGAUGUUAUAGAGGCUGCCACCUAGUCACAGCUUUCUUCAGUUGGACCCUGAGGGGUUAGACUGCUGCCGUAGUCUCAGAGACACCUUUUUCCUUCCAGAUCCCAGGAUUUCUUAUUCCACGGGACCUCACCUUCUCUCCUGCUCUCCCUCAUCCACCUCUAGGAACCACGGAGUGACGUUUACACUGCUGACAGUCUUGCUCCCACCUGGGUCCCAAAGCUAUUUCUGACAAGUUCAGCAGCAAAACCAGUCAAAACUUAGAUCAUCUGGAAACCAGGAGCAUGAAUGCUGCCCGUGGCGCACUGGAGAAGGGAUUUCUCACUUGUGGCUGUUUGGGAAAAAUGCAACUUGUGAACUCCAUUUUGGAGAAUUU
rnacentral:lncRNA from 1 species